UUUUUGAAAAUAAUUUAAAGUCUAAUCUGCCCACUGAUUUUAAAUUAAAGGGCUGCAGUAUUUUGACUGUACAAAGGUAGCAUAAUCAAUAGUCUCUUAAUUGGUGACUUGUAUGAAAGAUUUGAUGAAAUAUAAACUGUCUCUAUUAAAUUUAUAAAAUUUAAUUUUUUAGUUAAAAAGCUAAAAUAUGUUUAAAAGACGAGAAGACCCUAUAGAGUUUUAUAAUUUAUUUAUUUUUAAUUUUGUUUAAAUAUUAAAAUUAAAAAUAAAUGAAUUAUUUUAUUGGGGUGAUAGAAAAAUUAGAUAAACUUUUUUUAAAAUUUUUACAUUAAUAUAUGAUUAUAUGAUCCGUAAAUUACGAUUAAAAGAUUAAAUUACCUUAGGGAUAACAGCGUAAUUUUUUUUUUUAGUUCAAAUAAGAAAAAGAGUUUGCGACCUCGAUGUUGGAUUAAGAUAAAAUUUAAAAUGCAAAAGUUUAAAAUUUUUGAUCUGUUCGAUCAUUAAAAUCUUACA
rnacentral:rRNA from 1 species